UCCGUAGGGGGCAAGCGUUGUCCGGAAUCAUUGGGCGUAAAGCGCGUGUAGGCGGCUUGAUAAGUCCGCUCUGAAAGCCCGGGGCUCAACCCCGGGAGGCGGGUGGAUACUGUCAAGCUCGAGUCCGGAAGAGGCGAGUGGAAUUCCUGGUGUAGCGGUGAAAUGCGCAGAUAUCAGGAGGAACACCAAUGGCGAAGGCAGCUCGCUGGGACGUGACUGACGCUGAGACGCGAAAGCGUGGGGAGCAAACAGG
rnacentral:rRNA from 1 species